rnacentral:rRNA from 1 species
UACUACAGCCAUACUACCCUGAACACUUCCAAUCUCAUCUGAUAAUGGGAGCUAAGUGGGGUCAGACCUCAUUAGUACUUGGAUAGGAGACUGCCUGGGAAUGAUGCAGUUCAGGGGUGC